AUGAACGCUGGCGGCGUGCCUAAUACAUGCAAGUCGAGCGAACGGACGAGAAGCUUGCUUCUCUGAUGUUAGCGGCGGACGGGUGAGUAACACGUGGAUAACCUACCUAUAAGACUGGGAUAACUUCGGGAAACCGGAGCUAAUACCGGAUAAUAUUUUGAACCGCAUGGUUCAAAAGUGAAAGACGGUCUUGCUGUCACUUAUAGAUGGAUCCGCGCUGCAUUAGCUAGUUGGUAAGGUAACGGCUUACCAAGGCAACGAUGCAUAGCCGACCUGAGAGGGAGAUCGGCCACACUGGAACUGAGACACGGUCCGGCCUCCUACGGGAGGCAGCAGUAGGGAAUCUUCCGCAAUGGGCGAAAGCCUGAAGAAGCAACGCCGAGUGAGUGAUGAAGGUCUUCGGAUCGUAAAACUCUGUUAUUAGGAAAGAACAUAUGUGUAAGUAACUGUGCACAUCUUGACGGUACCUAAGCAGAAAGCCACGGCUAACUACGU
rnacentral:rRNA from 1 species